AUUGAACGCUGGCGGCAUGCCUUACACAUGCAAGUCGAACGGCAGCGCGGGAGCAAUCCUGGCGGCGAGUGGCGAACGGGUGAGUAAUACAUCGGAACGUGCCCAAUCGUGGGGGAUAACGCAGCGAAAGCUGUGCUAAUACCGCAUACGAUCUACGGAUGAAAGCAGGGGAUCGCAAGACCUUGCGCGAAUGGAGCGGCCGAUGGCAGAUUAGGUAGUUGGUGAGGUAAAGGCUCACCAAGCCUUCGAUCUGUAGCUGGUCUGAGAGGACGACCAGCCACACUGGGACUGCGACACGGCCCAGACUCCUACGGGAGGCAGCAGUGGGGAAUUUUGGACAAUGGGCGAAAGCCUGAUCCAGCCAUGCCGCGUGCAGGAUGAAGGCCUUCGGGUUGUAAACUGCUUUUGUACGGAACGAAACGGUCUUUUCUAAUAAAGAAGGCUAAUGACGGUACCGUAAGAAUAAGCACCGGCUAACUACGUG
rnacentral:rRNA from 1 species